GCCAGUCUGAUGAAUAUGACACUCGGCUUGUAACCGAGUGGGUUCGGGUUCGAACCCCGAAUAAGACA